GAUGAACGCUGGCGGCGUGCCUAAUACAUGCAAGUCGAGCGAACGGACGAGAAGCUUGCUUUUCUGAUGUUAGCGGCGGACGGGUGAGUAACACGUGUAUAACCUACCUAUAAGACUGGGAUAACUUCGGGAAACCGGAGCUAAUCCCGGAUAAUAUUUUGAACCGCAUGGUGCAAAAGUGAAAUACGGUCGUUCUGUCACUUAUAGCUGGAUCCGCGCUGCAUUAGCUAGUUGGUAAGGUAACGGCCUACCAAGGCAACGAUGCAUAGCCGACCUGAGUGGGUGAUAGCCCACACGGGAACUUGGACGCGGUCCAGAGGACUACGGGACGGAGCAGUAGGGAACGGUACGCAAUGGGCGGGAGUAUGACAGAACGAGGGCGAGUGAGAGGUAACGGUCUUCGGAUCGUAAAAAUCUGUUAUUAGGGAAGAACAUAUGUGGAAGUAAAUGUGCACAGAGUGACGGUACCGAAUAAGAAAGCAACGGCUAACUACGUG
rnacentral:rRNA from 1 species